rnacentral:guide_RNA from 1 species
CAUCAAUUUGUUACGUUCUUUGAGUGAUUGUGAUAAUA